GACCCAGAGAUAGCAGCACCUGAUCUACUGAAACAAGCUGUCCAGAAAAUGAGAACAUUUAACAAGGACAUGCACGAAGGACCUUAUGUCCUUUUGUAUCCAGACUGCUCAGAGGUGGUCCAUGUGCCUGGGUCAGAAAGGCCAUUUAAAUUGGCAGAAUAUAAUAAGGAAAUAGGAAAGGCAUAUUCCAGGAUUACUUUUUUCAUUUGCCUAGAAAAGCACUUUAAAAGAGAGUACGAUACCUCAGAUUCUGAUUCUGAAAUUGUCAUCACAACAAGGAGCAGAGCUGAAUUCAAUCGAGCUGACACUUUGGUUUUUGAACCACAAA